rnacentral:rRNA from 1 species
UACGUAGGGUGCAAGCGUUGUCCGGAAUUAUUGGGCGUAAAGGGCGCGUAGGUGGCCCGGUCAGUUCGUGGUGAAAGCGCGGGGCUCAACCCUGCGUCGGCCAUGAAUACUGCCGCGGCUGGAGCACUGUAGAGGCAGGCGGAAUUCCGGGUGUAGCGGUGGAAUGCGUAGAGAUCCGGAAGAACACCGGUGGCGAAGGCGGCCUGCUGGGCAGUUGCUGGCACUGAGGCGCGACAGCGUGGGGAGCAAACAGG